AGGGUUUGAUUAUGGCUCAGGAUGAACGCUGGCGGCGUGCUUAACACAUGCAAGUCGAACGAACCUUCGGGUUAGUGGCGGACGGGUGAGUAACGCGUGGGAAUCUGCCCUCAGGAGGGGGAUAACGGCUGGAAACGGCCGCUAAUACCCCAUAUGCCGAGAGGUGAAAUGAAUUUCGCCUGAGGAUGAGCCCGCGUCUGAUUAGCUAGUUGGUGAGGUAAGAGCUCACCAAGGCAUCGAUCAGUAGCUGGUCUGAGAGGAUGAUCAGCCACACUGGGACUGAGACACGGCCCAGACUCCUACGGGAGGCAGCAGUGGGGAAUUUUCCGCAAUGGGCGAAAGCCUGACGGAGCAACGCCGCGUGAGGGAUGAAGGCCUCUGGGCUGUAAACCUCUUUUCUCAAGGAAGAAGAUCUGACGGUACUUGAGGAAUAAGCCACGGCUAAUUCCGUGCCAGCCGCCGCGGUAAUUC
rnacentral:rRNA from 1 species